AAAGUCGUAACAAGGUUUCCGUAGGUGAACCUGCGGAAGGAUCAUUACCGAGGAAUUGUCCUGGCCUAACCGGCCGGAGCCUCUCACACACUGCGUACGCAUACAUUACGUUUAUCACAAAGGAAAAUGUGUCUAAACAACCAAAACAAGCAAAAAGCAAAAACUUUCAACAACGGAUCUCUUGGUUCUG
rnacentral:misc_RNA from 1 species